UAAAAGGCAUGAAGGAAAAGGAUAAUACAUUUUGCCAUUUGCGAGGAGGGCCAAUCAAGUUACAGGCAAUUUCACUUCCAGCCAGUCGGACAAGUGGUGAUUUGUGCUUCAGCCAAUCAGAAUUGCUCCUGAAGCUCCACUUCAACUCCCAUAGGGAGCUGGUUAAUUGCAGAACUGGUGGAAUUGCAUAUAGCCUACCCACUUGAAAAUGAAGGCUGUCAACAGCUUUGCAAGAGCUUGGAAUGGGGCCAGCAGGAAGAGGAAGUUGCUGUACAGGACAGACACCUGAAGAACAGGAAGCAAAGGAGACCGGCUUUCAUUCCUUCCUGACUCAUCAGAAGAAUUUCUUAGCUCAGCCAAUGUUAACUAUUUUCAUUAAGGACUUUAAUUACAUGAUUACAAAGCCCUCUACUAAUUAAAUACUAAAAUGAAAGUAUUGAAAAAUUUCAGUAA